AACGAACGCUGGCGGCAUGCCUAACACAUGCAAGUCGAACGAGACCUUCGGGUCUAGUGGCGCACGGGUGCGUAACGCGUGGGAACCUGCCCUUAGGUUCGGAAUAACUCCCCGAAAGGGGUGCUAAUACCGGAUAAUGUCUUCGGACCAAAGAUUUAUCGCCUUUGGAUGGGCCCGCGUUGGAUUAGCUAGUUGGUAGGGUAAAAGCCUACCAAGGCGACGAUCCAUAGCUGGUCUGAGAGGAUGAUCAGCCACACUGGGACUGAGACACGGCCCAGACUCCUACGGGAGGCAGCAGUGUGGAAUAUUGGACAAUGGGCGAAAGCCUGAUCCAGCAAUGCCGCGUGAGUGAUGAAGGCCUUAGGGUUGUAAAGCUCUUUUACCCGGGAUGAUAAUGACAGUACCGGGAGAAUAAGCUCCGGCUAACUCCGUG
rnacentral:rRNA from 1 species